rnacentral:ncRNA from 2 species
AAUUAAAUAUUCGGGAGCUUGUGUUACAGGCUGAGAGGAAAGUAUAACUUUCGACCGAUAUACCUGAUUUGGAUAAUGCCAACGUAGGGACAACUGAUAGUAUUGUA